UGGGGAAUUUUGGACAAUGGGCGAAAGCCUGAUCCAGCAAUGCCGCGUGUGUGAAGAAGGCCUUCGGGUUGUAAAGCACUUUUGUCCGGAAAGAAAUCCUUGGCUCUAAUACAGUCGGGGGAUGACGGUACCGGAAGAAUAAGCACCGGCUAACUACGUGCCAGCAGCCGCGGUAAUACGUAGGGUGCAAGCGUUAAUCGGAAUUACUGGGCGUAAAGCGUGCGCAGGCGGUUUGCUAAGACCGAUGUGAAAUCCCCGGGCUCAACCCGGGAACUGCAUUGGUGACUGGCAGGCUAGAGUAUGGCAGAGGGGGGUAGAAUUCCACGUGUAGCAGUGAAAUGCGUAGAGAUGUGGAGGAAUACCGAUGGCGAAGGCAGCCCCCUGGGCCAAUACUGACGCUCAUGCACGAAAGCGUGGGGAGCAAACAGGAUUAGAUACCCUGGUAGUCCACGCCCAUAAACGAUGUCCAACUAGUUGUUGGGGACUUCAUUUCCUUAGUAACGUAGCUAACGCGUGAAGUUGACCGCCUGGGGAGUACGGUCGCAAGAUU
rnacentral:rRNA from 1 species